UGGGAAUAUUGGACAAUGGGCGGAAGCCUGAUCCAGCAACGCCGCGUGAGGGAUGACGGCCUUCGGGUUGUAAACCUCUUUCAGUACCGACGAAGCGAAAGUGACGGUAGGUACAGAAGAAGGACCGGCCAACUACGUGCCAGCAGCCGCGGUAAUACGUAGGGUCCGAGCGUUGUCCGGAAUUAUUGGGCGUAAAGGGCUCGUAGGCGGUUUGUCGCGUCGGGAGUGAAAACAGCGGGCUUAACUCGUUGCUUGCUUUCGAUACGGGCAGACUAGAGGUAUGCAGGGGAGAAUGGAAUUCCUGGUGUAGCGGUGAAAUGCGCAGAUAUCAGGAGGAACACCGGUGGCGAAGGCGGUUCUCUGGGCAUUACCUGACGCUGAGGAGCGAAAGUGUGGGGAGCGAACAGGAUUAGAUACCCUGGUAGUCCACACCGUAAACGUUGGGCGCUAGGUGUGGGGUCCUUUCCACGGAUUCCGUGCCGUAGCUAACGCAUUAAGCGCCCCGCCUGGGGAGUACGGCCGC
rnacentral:rRNA from 1 species